AUCGGCAUCGAAGACGGCGAUGAAAUCGCCUGAACUGACGCGCAAACCGUUGUUCAUGUUGCCGGCCUUGGCA
rnacentral:sRNA from 1 species